rnacentral:rRNA from 1 species
UACAGAGGGUGCAAGCGUUAAUCGGAAUUACUGGGCGUAAAGCGUGCGUAGACGGUCAUGUAAGUCGGGUGUGAAAGCCCCGGGCUCAACCCGGGAACUGCGUCCGAUACUGGCAGGCUUGAAUUCGGGAGAGGGAUGUGGAAUUCCAGGUGUAGCGGUGAAAUGCGUAGAUAUCUGGAGGAACACCGGUGGCGAAGGCGGCAUCCUGGACCGAUAUUGACGCUGAUGCGCGAAAGCCAGGGGAGGCAAACGGG